AUUUUGGAGAGUUUGAUCCUGGCUCAGAGUGAACGCUGGCGGCGUGGAUUAGGCAUGCAAGUCGAGCGAUCCUUGCUGAUUAGAGAGGUGCUUGCACCUCAAUUUGAAGCGCGGGAUAGCGGCAAACGGGUGAGUAACGCGUAAGUAAUCUUCCUCAAAGACGAACACAGCAUCGUGAAAACGGUGGUAAUAUUCGAUGUGGACUAAGAAUCGCAUGGUUCUAUGUUUAAAGGUGGGGACCUUCGGGCCUGCCGCUUUGAGAUGAGCUUGCGUCCUAUCAGCUUGUUGGUGAGGUAACGGCUCACCAAGGCAUAUGACGGGUAGUUGGUCUGAGAGGAUGAUCAGCCACACUGGGACUGAGACACUGCCCAGACUCCUACGGGAGGCUGCAGUCGAGAAUCUUUCACAAUGGACGAAAGUCUGAUGAUGCGACGCCGCGUGCAGGAUGAAGGCCUUCGGGUUGUAAACUGCUUUUGUUAGGAAAGAAACCUGUUUGGUUAAUAACCAGACAGCUGACGGUACCUGACGAAUAAGCCACGGCCAAAUACGUGCCAGCAGCCGCGGUAAUACGUAUGUGGCAAGCGUUACUCGGAAUUAUUGGGUGUAAAGGGCAAGUAGGCGGUCUAAUAAGCGAGGG
rnacentral:rRNA from 1 species